rnacentral:rRNA from 1 species
GAUGAACGCUGGCGGCGUGCCUAAUACAUGCAAGUCGAACGCAGUGGGGACGGGUGAGUAACACGUGGGUAACCUCCCAUCAGAGGGGAUAACACUUGGCAACAGGUGCUAAACCGAUACUGAUGGAUGAACCCGCGCUGCAUUAGCUAGUUGGUGAGGUAACGGCUCACCAAGGCCACGACGAACAGCCGACCUGAGAGGGUGAUCGGCCACACUGGAACUGAGAAACGGCCCAGACUCCUACGGGAGGCAGCAGUGGGGAAUCUUGGGCAAUGGACGAAAGUCUGACCGAGCAACGCCGCAUGAGUGAAGAAGGUUUUCGGAUCGUAAGACUCUGUUGUUAGGGAAGCGGUAUCUAACCAAAAAGCCACGGCUAACUACGUGCCAGCAGCCGCGGUAAUAC